CCGGAGCCCGGAGCGUGACCGGGGAGGAGGGAGCCGGGCAGCCACGGCGGCCUCGUGCUCAGCCUGUGCCCGCCCAGGGAACCGGAGCCUCCAACUAACUCCGCCCGCCGCCCGCGGGCUGGGGCUUCCGUCCCGUCCCGUCCCGGAGAGAGCCUGCGGCCGCCCGCGCAGGAAAGCUUUGACAUUAAAACUUGCUUUCCCACAUAUUUAUGGAGGGAAUACUCCUGCCCUCUGAAACUUGCUGGAAUAACUUGCUGGAUCUGAAGAAGAUAAAAUAGCAUUUUCUGCUGGCUCACAAAGGACAGAAAGAUGGGGAAGGGACCUUCAGGAUUCUGAGAAGAGGAAAUUGAUGUUUGCAUUGCUGCCUGUAAUUUUGAAAUACUAAAGUUACCCUGGAUGUCCCAGAUUCUGUGAAGGAGAAGCCCACUGCUAACUGG
rnacentral:lncRNA from 1 species